AUUUUAUUUGUGAAAUGAAACUAUAUAUAAAUUUUUUUAAUAUACUUAUAUAAUAUAAUUAUUAAUAUACUUUAAGUACGAUUAAGUGAAAUUAGUCAUUUAACAAUAAUAAAACCUGGAAACAAGCAACUGUUUCCACUAUCAUCUUAUAAAUUACUCACUAAAUUAAUGACAAGUCGCAUCUAUUUCCUUAAUCAGGCGAUAAUCAAAAUUUAGCAUGGGCGCAUUGCUGUGGAGCCUUUUAAUAGCUCAAAGCUGUGUUCUUCUUUUCUUGGCGUCAAGCGUUCACACGAUUUAACUAGCUCUGAAUAAUAAACUGCAAUUGUUAUUCAACAAACCCUUUACUUCAGAACAGUCUCAAAGCUUUGGCUGUUUCAUCAUUCUGCAAUACAGGAUGUGGAAGUCAACACCUCUAAAGUUCAAAUGACUUGAUGGUACUUGGCAGUACAUGACAGCAUAUAUAGAGCAAAUGGUAUCCAAUUUCAUUUGGCUGCAACAAUCAAUGCAGAGACAGAAGGAACAGCAAGUCACAAAAGAUUUUUUCCUUGUCCCAGUAACAACAACAUUAACUUUAUUUUUCGAACCGAGUAUAUCAGUCUAGUGUUCCUUAUUUAGCUGUUGAGCAUUUAUUUAUUAAUUUGAGAGGAUGCAGGAAUGUGGGAAGCUGUUGGUUGCAAAGAUAGUUUUCAGGGUACCAAGUUCCAAGUUUAGGAGAAACACGCAAGUGACAAAGGAUUUGAUGUUCAUUGUCCCAGCAAUAACCAAACAACCAAUUACUUGGCUUUUGAUAUGAUACAAGAAAGUAAGAAGCUGUUGAUUGUUUGAUCCAGAAUCCAAGUCACAUCUAGCAUGUAUAAUGUUCUUAUGGCACCUUUCGAAAUGUGGAACUUCACUCAUAAAAAAAUUGUGCAGACUGCAUGGAAUUUUCAUUUAUGUUUGUUGUUAGUGUUGAUAACAUACUGACUGAAGGCCAGACUCUUUGGCAAUGCGAUGCAACAGUCUGCUACACACAGUCUGUGGAGAUGGUGUUAUCCUGAAAUGGAGAACCAAGACCUGAAGUGGAUCUGCAAGAAGACUUCUUGAAAUGGUGUCGUCGGAAAAGAGUCUGUGAUUCCUGUGUUAUCCUGGGGUAUGUUGGUAAUCUGACAAAUAUGCUUGUGGCUGCUUGUUUGUGAUUAGUGUCUUGUAUGACGUAGUCCAUAAUGUCGAUAAGUGCAUAUCAGCGCUCUUUUCUUUUCUUUGACCCCGUUUCCCCAACUAACCAACGCCAGUCGGUGAUCACUCACCCGCCGUGACAACGAGUAGAAGAUGUCUCUGGUCGAACGGACGGGUCGAACUGGAAGCUUUGAGGGUUAUGAAUCCAACCCAGAAACCUAUUAUGACUACAUCUUCUCAAAAACCCUUAAAGAAGAAAAUCAAACAUAUAUAAAGCUAAGUCAACAACAGAUGACAAUCAGCCUUCCUAGUUUCUGCAUGCUUUAAUUGGUCAGUUUUCAAUGCUGGUUAUUCAACCCCCAUAAUUACUAUACAGCUGGAUUUUACGUUUUAGAAGAGAUAACAUAUUAGACCAAUAUAAAAGAAUUUCUCAUUAAGGACUAUUUACAUUUAAGUAUCAAAACAAGACUUCAUGAACACGGGUCUCAUGAUAUCCCGCAUAUUGAAUAUUGAUAGUGCGCUGCCUUAUUCGAAUUACCUAGGCGAAUUUUAUGAGAUGAUAUAUAUUUUAAGUUUCAAUAAAAACUAAUUAUUACUUAAAA